rnacentral:rRNA from 1 species
CCUACGGGGGGCUGCAGUGAGGAAUCUUGCGCAAUGGGGGAAACCCUGACGCAGCCACGCCGCGUGGGUGAAGAAGGUCUUCGGAUCGUAAAGCCCUGUCAGGUGGGAAGAACCGCAGUCGGGUGAAUAAUCUGGCUGCCUGACGGUACCACCAAAGGAAGCACCGGCUAACUCCGUGCCAGCAGCCGCGGUAAUACGGAGGGUGCAAGCGUUGUUCGGAAUUACUGAGCGUAAAGCGCGUGUAGGAGGCGAAAGCCCUCGGCUUAACCGGGGAAGUGCAUCUGAUACUGUCGGGCUUGAGUCCUGGAGAGGGUUGUGGAAUUCCCGGUGUAGAGGUGAAAUUCGUAGAUAUCGGGAGGAACACCAGUGGCGAAGGCGACAACCUGGACAGAGACUGACGCUGAGACGCGAAAGCGUGGGGAGCAAACAGGAUUAGAUACCCCAGUAGUC